rnacentral:rRNA from 1 species
AAGAGGUCCAGCCUGCCCAGUGACUCUGUUCAACGGCCGCGGUAUUUUAACCGUGCGAAGGUAGCGUAAUCACUUGUCCUCUAAAUAAGGACCAGUAUGAACGGCACCACGAAGGUUGUGCUGUCUCCUUUUUCUAAUCAGUGAAUCUAAUCUCCCCGUGAAGAAGCGGGAAUAAGACUAUAAGACGAGAAGACCCUAUGGAGCUUUAAACUAAGUAACAGCCACUUGUAAUAUUCGUACAUUUCAGAAUAACAACACAUAGCUAACCGCAUGAUUACUAGUUUUAGGUUGGGGUGACCACGGAGAAAAAAAUAACCUCCACAUUGAACAGGGCCUAACUCCUGAGCCACGGGCCACAACCCUAAGCACCAAUAAAUUGACAUUUAUUGACCCAAUACUUUGACCAACGAACCAAGUUACCCUAGGGAUAACAGCGCAAUCCGCUUAAAGAGCCCCUAUCGACAAGCGGGUUUACGACCUCGAUGUUGGAUCAGGGUACCCCAGUGGUGCAGCCGCUACUAAAGGUUCGUUUGUUCAACGAUUAAAACCCU